rnacentral:rRNA from 1 species
UACGUAGGGUGCGAGCGUUAAUCGGAAUUACUGGACGUAAAGCGUGCGCAGGCGGCGCGUUAAGACAGGUGUGAAAGCCCCGAGCUUAACUUGGGAAUUGCGCUUGUGACUGGCGUGCUGGAGUGUGGCAGAGGGAGGUGGAAUUCCACGUGUAGCAGUGAAAUGCGUAGAGAUGUGGAGGAACACCGAUGGCGAAGGCAGCCUCCUGGGCCAGCACUGACGCUCAUGCACGAAAGCGUGGGGAGCAAACAGG